GGCGGCAUGCCUAACACAUGCAAGUCGAACGGUAACAGGCGGAGCUUGCUCUGCGCUGACGAGUGGCGGACGGGUGAGUAAUGCUUAGGAAUCUGCCCAGUAGCGGGGGACAACAGUCGGAAACGGUUGCUAAUACCGCAUACGCCCUACGGGGGAAAGCAGGGGAUCUUCGGACCUUGCACUAUUGGAUGAGCCUAAGUCAGAUUAGCUUGUUGGUGGGGUAAAAGCCUACCAAGGCGACGAUCUGUAGCUGGUCUGAGAGGACGAUCAGCCACACUGGAACUGAGACACGGUCCAGACUCCUACGGGAGGCAGCAGUGGGGAAUAUUGCACAAUGGGCGCAAGCCUGAUGCAGCAAUGCCGCGUGUGUGAAGAAGGCCUGCGGGUUGUAAAGCACUUUCAGUAAGGAGGAAAAUCUCAAGGUUAAUACCCUCGAGGCUUGACGUUACUUACAGAAGAAGCACCGGCUAACUCCGUGCCAGCAGCCGCGGUAAUACGGAGGGUGCGAGCGUUAAUCGGAAUUACUGGGCGUAAAGCGUGCGUAGGCGGCAUGGUCAGUCGGAUGUGAAAGCCCCGGGCUCAACCUGGGAAUUGCAUUCGAUACUGCCAAGCUAGAGUAUGUUAGAGGAAAGUGGAAUUCCCGGUGUAGCGGUGAAAUGCGUAGAUAUCGGGAGGAACAUCAAUGGCGAAGGCAACUUUCUGGGGCAAUACUGACGCUGAGGCACGAAAGCGUGGGGAGCAAACAGGAUUAGAUACCCUGGUAGUCCACGCCCUAAACGAUGUCAACUAGCCGUUGGGUUCAUUUAAGAAUUUAGUGGCGCAGCUAACGCAUUAAGUUGACCGCCUGGGGAGUACGGCCGCAAGCUAACUAUAUAUGAUAG
rnacentral:rRNA from 1 species